rfam:Stachybotrys chlorohalonata IBT 40285 unplaced genomic scaffold scaffold1005, whole genome shotgun sequence.
GACGGGAUGGCCGAGUGGUUAAGGCGAUGCCCUGCUAGUAUCUAGCAAGAGAGGCAUUGGGUUCGCCCGCGCGUGUUCGAAUCACGUUUCCGUCG